rnacentral:rRNA from 1 species
ACUAUCAACAAGUGAAUACAUAGCUUGUUGAGGCAAACCGGGAGAACUGAAACAUCUAAGUACCCCGAGGAAAAGAAAUCAACCGAGAUUUCGUCAGUAGCGGCGAGCGAAAGCGAAAGAGCCAGUAAGUGAUAACAGUAUGGUUAGGAGAAUGUGUUGGGAAGCACAAUCAAAGAGGGUGAUAAUCCCGUAUCUAAAAACUAUAUUGUGGUACUAAGCUAACGAGAAGUAGGGCGGGACACGUGAUAUCCUGUUUGAAGAAGGGGGGACCAUCCUCCAAGGCUAAAUACUCCUGAUUGACCGAUAGUGAACCAGUACUGUGAAGGAAAGGCGAAAAGAACCCCGGUGAGGGGAGUGAAAUAGAACCUGAAACCUUGUACGUACAAGCAGUGGGAGCCCGAAAGGGUGACUGCGUACCUUUUGUAUAAUGGGUCAGCGACUUAUAUUUUGUAGCGAGGUUAACCGAAUAGGGGAGCCGAAGGGAAACCGAGUCUUAACUGGGCGACUAGUUGCAAGGUAUAGACCCGAAACCCGGUGAUCUAGCCAUGGGCAGGUUGAAGGUUGGGUAACACUAACUGGAGGACCGAACCGACUAAUGUUGAAAAAUUAGCGGAUGACUUGUGGCUGGGGGUGAAAGGCCAAUCAAACCGGGAGAUAGCUGGUUCUCCCCGAAAUCUAUUUAGGUAGAGCCUUGAGGUGACACCUUUGGGGGUAGAGCACUGUUUCGGCUAGGGGUCCAUCCCGGAUUACCAACCCGAUGCAAACUACGAAUACCAAAGAGUGAUACUCAGGAGACACACGGCGGGUGCUAACGUCCGUCGUGGAGAGGGAAACAACCCAGACCGCCAGCUAAGGUCCCCAAGUCUAUAUUAAGUGGGAAACGAAGUGGGAAGGCUUAGACAGCUAGGAUGUUGGCUUAGAAGCAGCCAUCAUUUAAAGAAAGCGUAAUAGCUCACUAGUCGAGUCGGCCUGCGCGGAAGAUGUAACGGGGCUGAAAUAUAGCACCGAAGCUGCGGCAUCAGGCGUAAGUCUGUUGGGUAGGGGAGCGUUCUGUAAGCGGAUGAAGGUUAAUCGAGAGGUUAGCUGGACGUAUCAGAAGUGCGAAUGCUGACAUAAGUAACGAUAAAACGGGUGAAAAACCCGUUCGCCGGAAGACCAAGGGUUCCUGUCCAACGUUAAUCGGGGCAGGGUGAGUCGGCCCCUAAGGCGAGGCUGAAAAGCGUAGUCGAUGGGAAACAGGUUAAUAUUCCUGUACUUGGUAAAGCUGCGAUGUGGGGACGGAGUAGGUUAGGUUAUCGCACUGUUGGAUAUGUGCGUUUAAGUUGGUAGGUGGGAAGUUUAGGCAAAUCCGGACUUCUAUUAAACACUGAGAGAUGAUGACGAGGCUCUAAGGAGCUGAAGUAACUGAUACCACACUUCCAGGAAAAGCCACUAAGCGACAGGCUUUACUAAACCGUACUGAAAACCGACACAGGUGGUCAGGUAGAGAAUACUCAGGCGCUUGAGAGAACUCGGGUGAAGGAACUAGGCAAAAUAGCACCGUAACUUCGGGAGAAGGUGCGCCGGCGUAGAUUGUAAGGGCUAGCCCCUGAAGGUUGAACCGGUCGAAGAUACCAGCUGGCUGCAACUGUUUAUUAAAAACACAGCACUCUGCAAACACGAAAGUGGAGGUAUAGGGUGUGAUGCCUGCCCGGUGCUGGAAGGUUAAUUGAUGGUGUAAUCGCAAGAGAAGCACCUGAUCGAAGCCCCAGUAAACGGCGGCCGUAACUAUAACGGUCCUAAGGUAGCGAAAUUCCUUGUCGGGUAAGUUCCGACCUGCACGAAUGGCAUAAUGAUGGCCAGGCUGUCUCCACCCGAGACUCAGUGAAAUUGAAAUCGCCGUGAAGAUGCGGUGUACCCGCGGCUAGACGGAAAGACCCCGUGAACCUUUACUAUAGCUUGACACUGAACAUUGAAUUUUGAUGUGUAGGAUAGGUGGGAGACUUAGAAGUAGGAACGCCAGUUUCUAUGGAGUCAUCCUUGAAAUACCACCCUUUAACGUUUGAUGUUCUAACGAAGAUUGCGGAACGCGGUCUCGGACAGUGUCUGGUGGGUAGUUUGACUGGGGCGGUCUCCUCCCAAAGCGUAACGGAGGAGCACGAAGGUUUGCUAAUCACGGUCGGACAUCGUGAGGUUAGUGCAAUGGUAUAAGCAAGCUUAACUGCGAG